rnacentral:rRNA from 1 species
GAUGAACGCUGGCGGCGUGCUUAACACAUGCAAGUCGAACGGAAAGGCCAGUGCUUGCACUGGUACUCGAGUGGCGAACGGGUGAGUAACACGUGGGUGAUCUGCCCUGCACUUCGGGAUAAGCCUGGGAAACUGGGUCUAAUACCGGAUAGGACAAUGGUUUGGAUGCCGUUGUGGAAAGUUUUUUCGGUGUGGGAUGAGCUCGCGGCCUAUCAGCUUGUUGGUGGGGUAAUGGCCUACCAAGGCGUCGACGGGUAGCCGGCCUGAGAGGGUGUACGGCCACAUUGGGACUGAGAUACGGCCCAGACUCCUACGGGGGGUAGCAGUGGGGAAUAUUGCACAAUGGGCGCAAGCCUGAUGCAGCGACGCCGCGUGGGGGAUGACGGCCUUCGGGUUGUAAACUCCUUUCGCUAGGGACGAAGCGUAUUUGUGACGGUACCUGGAGAAGAAGCACCGGCUAACUACGUG